AUCCAGUUGAUGAGUUCAAGAUAGGAUGAAACAUAAGUCUUGGAU
rnacentral:hammerhead_ribozyme from 1 species